rnacentral:lncRNA from 1 species
CCUAUGUCGAUUCUAGGAGAUACCCACUGCUUGUGAGGAUUCCUCUAGCCAGCAGGAUGGGGAUGGCUGCUGAGGUCAUUUCAGCUAUUUCAUCAGCUGUCUUGGUGAAAAAGGGGCUCCGUGCUGAGUACCAAAGAUGGAAUGGGAAUGUUCCUUCACUGCCAGUAAACUUGUUCAGGUUGCCCAGACACAAGCAGGCAAAGUGAAGAGUUCCCCUUCUGCAGCCCCAUGUGCUGCUGCAGUGUGGUGUAAUGCUGAGGCACAGCCAUUUGCAGGCAUCUCCGAGCUUUUUUUUUUUUUGGCUCUGUCUCUGUGGAGCUUUCAUAUGGCUGUUGCCCUCCCUCCUUCAUGUGGGACUGUGGGCUCUCCUAAGCUUUUUGUUCCAGCUGGUCAGCUAGCAGCUGUCACUUGCUGGGGAUAGCAGACUGGUGGAUUGAAGCCCCCAGCUGUGGACCCUGCCGUGGCUCCCUGUGGUACAGAGCUGGGAGGC